rnacentral:rRNA from 1 species
UACAGAGGUGGCAAGCGUUGUUCGGAAUUAUUGGGCGUAAAGGGCGCGUAGGCGGCUUUUCAAGUGACGGGUGAAAUCCCUCGGCUUAACCGAGGAACUGCCUGUCAGACUGGAAGGCUUGAGACCGGGAGAGGUGAGUGGAAUUCCCAGUGUAGCGGUGAAAUGCGUAGAUAUUGGGAGGAACACCAGUGGCGAAGGCGGCUCACUGGACCGGAGCUGACGCUGAGGCGCGAAAGCGUGGGGAGCAAACAGG